GGCUUUUUGGUUAUAAUUUAAGGUCUAGCCUGCCCACUGAAAUUUUUAAAUGGCCGUGGUAUUUUGACCAUGCUAAGGUAGCAUAAUCAAUAGUUUUUUAAUUAAAAACUGGAAUGAAAGGUUGGAUAAGAAAAUGACUGUCUCUAUUAAAUUUUAUUAGAAUUUUAUUUUUAAGUUAAAAAGCUUAAAUAUAUUUAAAAGACGAGAAGACCCUAUAGAAUUUUAUUAUUAUAUAAAAGUUAUAUUUUAGUAUUUAAUUAUUUAUUUUAUUAUUUAAUUUAGUUGGGGUGAUUGAAAAAUUUAAUUAACUUUUUUUAAUUAAAAACAUUUAUUUAUGAAAAAAUGAUCCAUUAUUUUUGAUUAUAAGAUAAAAUUACCUUAGGGAUAACAGCGUAAUUUUUUUUAAAAGUUCAUAUUUAAAAAAAAGAUUGCGACCUCGAUGUUGGAUUAAAAUUUAUUUUUGGUGUAGAAGCUAAAAUAUUGGGUCUGUUCGACCUUUAAAAUUUUAC
rnacentral:rRNA from 1 species